GUUUGAUUCUGGCUCAGGAUGAACGCACAAGACGUGCCUAACACAUGCAAAUCGAAUGAAAAUAAUUAAUUAUUGUUUUCAUGGUGAACGGGUGAGUAACACAUAAGAAUCAGCUUUUAGAUAAGGCAUAAAAGAGUAAUAUCUUGGUAAUUCCUUAUAUGCGCAGCAGUGCUUAAAAAGGGGAGUCCCGUCUAAAAACGAGCUUAUGCCUGAUUAGCUAGUUGGCGAGUUAAAAGCUCACCAAGGCGAAGAUCAGUAGCUGGCCUGAGAGGGCGGCCAGCCACAUUGGGACUGAGACACGGCCCAAACUCCUACGGGAGGCAGCAGUGGGGAAUCUUCUGCAAUGGGCGCAAGCCUGACAGAGCGGCGUCGUGUGAAGGAAGAAGGCCUGAAAUAGGUUGUAAACUUCUUUUACUGAGUAAUGAAUAAUGACAACGCAGUAAAAAAGUAUCGGCUAACUCCGUGCCAGCAGCCGCGGUAAUACGGGGGAUGCAAGCGUUAUCCGGAAUAACUGGGCGUAAAGCGUCUGUAGGUGGUUUAGUGUGUUCUUAGUUAAAUUCUGAAGCCUAACUUCAUGAAAAGUAAGAAAACUAUUAGACUUGAGUACGAUAGGGGUAAGAGGAAUUCUUCGAGAAGUAGUGAAAUGCGAAGAUACGAAGGAGAAGAUCAUAAGCGAAGGCUUCUUACUGGGUCGUAACUGACACUGAGAGACGAAAGCUAGGGGAGCGAAUGGGAUUAGAUACCCCAGUAGUCCUAGCUGUAAACGAUGGAUAUUCGGUGCCGGAAAUUUUAUUAGAACAUUUCGGUACCCUAGCUAACGCGUUAAAUAUCCCGCCUGAGGAGUACGCUCGCAAGGGUGAAACUCAAAGGAAUUGACGGGGGCUCGCACAAGCGGUGGAGCAUGUGGUUUAAUUCGAUGC
rnacentral:rRNA from 1 species